rnacentral:rRNA from 1 species
GACGAACGCUGGCGGCGUGCUUAACACAUGCAAGUCGAACGGAAAGGCCCUGCUUGCAGGGUGCUCGAGUGGCGAACGGGUGAGUAACACGUGGGUGAUCUGCCCCUUACUUUGGGAUAAGCCUGGGAAACUGGGUCUAAUACUGGAUAGGACCAUGCUGUAGGUGGUGUGGUGGAAAGAUUAGUUUCGGUAAGGGAUGAGCUCGCGGCCUAUCAGCUUGUUGGUGGGGUAAUGGCCUACCAAGGCGUCGACGGGUAGCCGGCCUGAGAGGGUGGACGGCCACAUUGGGACUGAGAUACGGCCCAGAAUCCUACGGGAGGCAGCAGUGGGGAAUAUUGCACAAUGGGCGCAAGCCGGAUGCAGCGACGCCGCGUGGGGGAUGACGGCCUUCGGGUUGUAAACUCCUUUCAGCCAUGACGAAGCCCUUGUGGUGACGGUAGUGGUAGAAGAAGCACCGGCUAACUACGUG